rnacentral:rRNA from 1 species
ACACUCCUACGGGAGGCAGCAGUGGGGAAUUUUGGACAAUGGGCGAAAGCCUGAUCCAGCAAUGCCGCGUGAGUGAAGAAGGCCUUCGGGUUGUAAAGCUCUUUUGUCAGGGAAGAAACGGUGAAAGCUAAUAUCUUUUGCUAAUGACGGUACCUGAAGAAUAAGCACCGGCUAACUACGUGCCAGCAGCCGCGGUAAUACGUAGGGUGCAAGCGUUAAUCGGAAUUACUGGGCGUAAAGCGUGCGCAGGCGGUUUUGUAAGUCUGAUGUGAAAUCCCCGGGCUCAACCUGGGAAUUGCAUUGGAGACUGCAAGGCUAGAAUCUGGCAGAGGGGGGUAGAAUUCCACGUGUAGCAGUGAAAUGCGUAGAUAUGUGGAGGAACACCGAUGGCGAAGGCAGCCCCCUGGGUCAAGAUUGACGCUCAUGCACGAAAGCGUGGGGAGCAAACAGGAUUAGAAAUCCCAGUAGUCCCA